UACGGAGGGGGCGAGCGUUAUUCGGAAUUAUUGGGCGUAAAGGGCGCGUAGGCGGCCCGGUAAGUCAAAGGUGAAAUCCCUCGGCUCAACUGAGGAACUGCCUUUGAAACUGUCGGGCUUGAGGCCGGGAGGGGGUAGCGGAAUUCCCAGUGUAGCGGUGAAAUGCGUAGAUAUUGGGAGGAACACCGGUGGCGAAGGCGGCUACCUGGACCGGUUCUGACGCUGAUGCGCGAAAGCGUGGGUAGCAAACAAG
rnacentral:rRNA from 1 species